GUGCUCACUUCAGCAGCACAUAUACUAAAAUUGGAACGAUACAGAGAAGAUUAGCAUGGCCCCUGUUGAAGGAUGACAUGCAAAUAUCACAGUGCAUUAACUCUAAUUU